AUUGGACGUUGGUCAACAAGAACAAGGAUAUCGGUGCUUUGCAAAAAUAUAGCAGAUAAGCUUAGCUGUAGAACAUUUGAAUUGUUAUGAGAACUAGUAAGAUGAUAUUUUUAUUUUACUAGCCUUGUUCAGGUGCAUAUAAAUAUGUUUUUUAAACAAAACUUUUCCUUUAAUUUCACAAUACAGCGACAGAUUGCAAAAUAAUAGGGUCCCUGACAUUUAUCUUUCCUAGUGCAUACAUACGUAAACACGUGCUGUCUCUAUUUCAGACUAGGACAAUGCAUUUGAAACGUUAGGAGGACUGGUCCAUUCAUCUCAGAAAGGCACAAUACAAGCAAAGUAAAUCAGUAAUAAAAAUUUUACUGGAACUUUUGUUAACACAGAAUUUCUGUUUAAAGUGUAAAGCUACCGUCUUGCACAGAAAGAUGGACAGAACCAUUUUUAUCAAGACUUAUAUGGACACAAUAAAUAUGGAGUUUUACAUACAAGGUCUGUACACAUAAUCUGCCCCACAUCCAUUUAAAAAAUGACAUUUAACAGUGCAACAUAUACAUGUAGGUUUCAUAAUUUAAUCAUAUUACUCAACAUGAGAUAUUUACCUACGAAACACAAGCAACUACCUUGGUUAUGUACAUAUAUAAUAUCUUUAUAUGUGUAUAUAUAUAUAUA